AGUCGUCCCUCUUCCAGUGCAGCCACCGUGGCUGGGGCGUCCACAACUGCAACCAUGGUGAAGAUGCUGGUGUUGUGUGCUCAGGUGCCCUAAGUACAACCACACCCAGCACCACCAGCUCUGCUCCUUCAGAUGCCACCAUCCGCCUGGUG